AUAGUCUCAGUACGCAAUCCUUCGUCUUUAACGUAAAUAGAUAUCUGUUUCCAGGAAGUAGCCAAUAUAUGACCCUGCUGACUCCAACAAACUUCAUAUGCUGGUCCGCUUAGUACUUGAAACGCUUUAUCCCACUUCUCACUAUGGUAUAGAAAUGUUCCUGCCUCAGUUGCUACUGCCAAACAGCUUCCAUCAUAGGUGAACCGGAUGCAUGAGAUUGGAGAAUCAAAUGAUAAAUGAGUGGUUUUAUGACCAUUAAGGGAUUGGAUGAUACGUUUUUCAGAGGAUUUUGGAUAGAAAAAAUCUUUUGAUAAUAUAUAGACGUUUGUUUCAGCCGAUACUGCAACGAAGUCUUUUGAGGAAGAGAUAGAUGAAAAUUGAUGGUUUUCUAAUAACUUAGGCACAAAAAUGUGCAUCGUUGUGGGGUGAGGGAACUUUUGUUUACUAACUUUUAUUUUUCAUUCUCCCAAUUCAUGAAUAACGUUCACUAUCGGGUUCGGCUAUGGCGUUGAAGUGCGUUGAAUACAGUCUCGUCUGGGAGACUUAAGAUUUAGCAACCAAAUUAAGCACGCAUUUCCUAAGCAAAUGUAAUUAAAUGAAAAGCGUGGAUCAACUUUCGUACAAUUACAAUAUGAAUUUCAUUAAAUAACGUAUUCUAAUUUGAUUUUAUUUACGCUGUUUAUAUAAGAUUACUUUCGCUACAAAAAUAAUAGAAUAAGAAGAAAAUUCACAAUAAUUGCGGUGAUAACUCGAUAAUGAGGUUUCCCGAAAAAACUUUAGUUAAAAACCUAAAUCUAGACACAACUAGUGGGUUUAAGGUUAUUCUGAAAACACGUAAACUGCAUGGGAAUAUAACAUACUUUACAAAUUUAAUUCGGAAUUAUA